rnacentral:lncRNA from 1 species
AAAAACUGCUUCCUUCUUUAACUUGGCGUCUGAGGGGUUUUUUCUGCGGCUUGUCCUGCUACAUUUCUUGGUUCCCUGACGGGGAAGUGAGGUGAUUAAUGGACUGUUGAGGCAGCCCCUUAGGCGGCUUAAGCUUGCCCUGUGGCGCAUCCCUGCGGGGGACGCCAGUUAACUUGAGCCAUGCAGAUCCUGAGAGGGCUCCUGGGUAGGUAAUUGCCCUGGUGGAACGCUUUCACCAGAGCCGAGCAUGGCAGGCCCCCAUGGAGGAUCAACACAGUGGCUGAACACUGGGAAAGAACUGGUACUUGGAGUCUGGACAUCUGAAACUUGUUCACCCUUUCUCUCCAGGUGAUCGCGUGUGGAUCAAGGACUGAAACGUAGCCCCUUUGCGGCCACGGUGGAAAGGACCUCAGACCGUCAUCCUGACCACCCCCAUGGCUGUAAAGGUGGAAGGAGUCCCAGCCUGGAUCCACCACAGCUGUGUGAAACCUGCAGCUGCUGAAACCUAGGAGGCAAAACCGAGCCAGGACAACUCCUGCAAAGCGCUCUGAAGAGGACGACAAGCCCUGCUCCAGUCACACCCGGAAGCUGACUGGUCUAUGCGCGGCCGGAGCAUGAGGAGAAUCAUCAUAAGAUUCAUUUUCCUUAUAAUUUGGACCUGAAUAGUAAAAACUUUCACUGAUUUUCCCCACAUGGAGGACUGCUCUCAGUGUAUACAUCAGGUUACUGAGGUAGGGCAACAAGUUAAAACAAUCUUUCUGUUCUAUAGUUACUAUGAAUGUCUAGGAACUUUAAAAGGAACAUGUUUAUAUAAUGACACUCAGUACAAGGUAUGUAGCCCAGGAAACGACUGACCAGAUGUGUGUUAUGACCCCUCUGAGCCUCCCAUGUCCACAGUUUUUGAAAUAAGAUUAAGAACUGAAGAGUGGUGAGGACUCAUAAAUGAUACAAGUGAAGUAUUACCCAGAACAGAAGAAAAAGGGGUGCCCAAAUGCAUAAUCUUGAAAUUUGAUGCCUGUGCUAUCUUUAAUAGCAAUGAGUUAGGAAGGGAAUGUGGCAUUUUUAGUUAGGAAAAAGGCUACAUGACCGAAAAUAAGUACAUUAGUCAUGAAUUAGGACUGUGUGGAAAUGAAUGUGGAUACUGGUCCUGUGUCAUUUGGGCCACUUGGAUAAAAAAUGAAAAGGAUCCAGCCCACCUUCAGAAAGGAAAAAAUGGCCCUUCCUGUACUAAGGGACAAUGUAACCCCUUAGAGGUAGUAAUAACCAAUCCCCUUGAUCCUCGUUGGAAAAAAAGGGGAGCGUGUGACAUUAGGAAUCAAUGGGGCCAGACAGGAUCCUCAAGUAAAUAUCUUGGCUCGAGGAGAAGUUUACAAACGCUCUCCUGAGCCAGUGUUUCAAACUUUCUAUGAUGAACUAAAUGUGCCAGUACCAGAAAUUCCAGGAAAAACAAGAAAUUUGUUUUUGCAAUUAGCCGAGCAUGUAGCCCAGUCUCUCGGUGUCACUUCAUGUUAUGUAUGUGGAGGAACUGUAAUGGGAAAUCAAUGGCCAUGGGAAGCCUGAGAAUUAGUACCUGUUACAGACCCAGUUUCUGAUGAAUUCCCUGCUCAAAAGAAUCACCCUGAUAAUUUCUAGAUCCUAAAAGCCUCAAUUAUUGGACAAUAUUGCAUAGCUAGAGAAGGAAAAGAAUUCACUCACCCCGUAGGACAACUUAGUUGUCUGAGACAGAAACUGUAUAAUGUUAUCACAAAAACAGUCACUUGGUGGAGUUCAAAUCACACAGAGAGAAAUCCAUUUAGUAAAUUCCCAAAGUUGCAAACCGUGUGGACCCACCCGGAGUCCCACCGGGACUGGACAGCCCCCACUGGAUUAACUGGAUAUGUGGGCAUAGAGCUUACACGAAAUUACCUGACCAGUGUGCAGGUAGUUGUGUUAUUGGCACCAUUAAACCAUCUUUCUUCCUACUGCCCAUAAAAACAGGCGAACUCCUGGGCUUCACUGUCUAUGCUUCCCACAAAAAGAGAAGCAUAGCUAUAGGAAAUUGGAAAGAUGAUGAAACUUCCCUGAGAGAAUCACACAAUAUUAUUGUCCUGCUACUUGGGCACAAGACAGCUCAUGGAGAUACCGGACCCCCAUUUACAUGUUCAACUGAAUUAUACGGUUACAAGCUGUCUUACAAAUUAUCACUAAUAAAACUGGCAGAGCCUUGACUAUUCUAGCCUGGCAAGAAACUCAGAUGAGAAAUGCUAUCUAUUAAAAUAGAUUGGCUCUCAACUACUUGCUAGCAGCUGAAGGACGGGUCUGUAGAAAAUUUAACCUUACUGAUUGCUGUCUACACACAGAUGAUCAAGGGCAAGUAGUUGAAGGCAUAGUUAGAGAUAUGACAAAACUGGCACAUGUGCCCGUGCAAGUGUGGCAUGGAUUUGAUCCUGGGGCCAUGUUUGGAAAGUGGUUCCCAGCUCUAGGAGGAUUUAAAACUCUUAUAAAAGGAGUUAUAAUAGUAAUAGGAACCUGCUUACUGCUCCCUUGUUUGCUACCUAUACUUCUUCAAAUAAUAAAAAGCUUCAUCGCUACCUUAGUUCACCAAAAUGCUUCAGCACAGGUGUACUAUAUGAAUCACUAUCAAUCUGUCUUGCAAGAAGACAUGGGUAGUGAGAAAGAAGGAACUCCCACUAUUGAGUGAGAUUCUCAAAGAUGUGGGGAAUAAGGGAGGAGACUACCCCUCAUAUUGUCUUAUGCCCAAUUUCUGCCUCCAAAGGAAGAAGAAGUAAAAACUAAAAGGCAGAAAUGAAAUCCACAAGCAGACAGCCCAGCACUGCACCCUGGGCCUGGUGGAUAAAGAUUGACCACUGACCUAAUUGGUUAUGUUAUCUACAGAUUACAGACAUUGUAUAGAAAAGCACUGUGAAAAUCUCUGUCCUGUUCUGUUCCAUUCUAAUUACCGGUGCAUGCAGCCACCAGUCACAUACUCCCUGCUUGCUCAAUCAAUCACGACCCUCUCAAGUGGACCCCCUUAGAAUUGUGAGCCCUUAAAAGGGACAGGAAUUGCUCACUCAGGGAGCUCGGCUCUUAAGAUAGGAGUCUUGUCGAUGCUCCCGGCCGAAUAAACCGCUUCCUUCUU